CAGCAGCCACGGGAAUACGGAGGGGGCUAGCGUUGUUCGGAAUUACUGGGCGUAAAGCGCACGUAGGCGGUGAGUUAAGUCUGCUGUGAAAUCCCCGGGCUCAACCUGGGAAUGGCAGUGGAUACUGGCUCGCUAGAGUGUGUCAGAGGAUGGUGGAAUUCCCGGUGUAGCGGUGAAAUGCGUAGAGAUCGGGAGGAACAUCAGUGGCGAAGGCGGCCAUCUGGGACAACACUGACGCUGAGGCACGAAAGCGUGGGGAGCAAACAGGAUUAGAGACCCCUGUAGUCCCUGUCUCUUAUAC
rnacentral:rRNA from 1 species